rnacentral:rRNA from 1 species
GGUUCGAUUAUGGCUCAGAUUGAACGCUGGCAGGAUGCUUUACACAUGCAAGUCGAACGGCAGCACGGACUUCGGUCUGGUGGCGAGUGGCGAGCGGGUGAGUAAUGUCGGAACGUGCCUAGUAGCGGGGGAUAACUGCGGCGUAGCUAAUACCACGCCGCCCUUCGGGGGAAAGCGGGGGACCUUCGGGCCUCGCACUAUUGAAACGACCGAUAUCGGAUUAGCUAGUUGGUGGGGUAACGGCUCACCAAGGCGACGAUCCGUAGCUGGUUUGAGAGGACGACCAGCCACUGGGACUGAGACACGGCCAGACUCUACGGGGAGGCAGCGGUGGGGGUACGGACAAUGGGGAAACCCUGAUCCAGCCAUCCCGCGUGUGCGAUGAAGGCCUUCGGGUUGUAAAGCACUUUGGCAGAGAAAACGGCACGGGAUAAACACCCCGUGCAACUGACGGUACCUGCAGAAUAAGCACAGCUAACUACGUGCCAGCAGCCGCGGUAAUACGUAGGGUGCAAGCGUUAAUCGGAAUUACUGGGCGUAAAGCGUGCGCAGGCGGUUCGGAAAGAAAGAUGUGAAAUCCCAGAGCUUAACUUUGGAACUGCAUUUUUAACUACCGAGCUAGAGUGUGUCAGAGGGAGGUGGAAUUCCGCGUGUAGCAGUGAAAUGCGUAGACUAUGCGAGGCACCGAUGGCAGGCAGCCUCUGGGACAACUGCAAACGCUCAUGCACAGCGAUGGGAGCAAACGGGAUUAGAUACCCUGGUAGUCCACGCCCUAAACGAUGUCAACUAGCUGUUGGGGCCUUCGGGCCUUGGUAGCGCAGCUAACGCGUGAAGUUGACCGCCUGGGAAGUACGGUCGCAAGAUUAAAACUCAAAAUUGACGGGGACCCGCACAAGCGGUGGAUGAUGUGGAUUAAUUCGAUGCAACGCGAAAACCUUACCUACCCUUGACUUCUUAGAUCGGGUGGGAGUGCUCGCAAGAGAACCGGAACACAGGUGCUGCAUGGCUGUCGUCAGCUCCGUGUCGUGAGAUGUUGGGUUGAAGUCCUGGCAGGCGCAACCCUUGUCAUUAGUUGCUACGAAAGGGCACUCUAAUGAGACUGCCGGUGACAAACCGGAGGAAGGUGGGGAUAGCGUCAAGUCCUCAUGGCCCUUAUGGGUAGGGCUUCACACGUCAUACAAUAUGGUCGGGACAGAGGGUCGCCAACCUGAGAGGGGAGCCAAUCAGAACCCGAUCGUAGUCCGGAUCGCAGUCUGCAACUCGACUGCGUGAAGUCGGAAUCGCUAGUAAUCGCGGAUCAGCAUGUCGCGGUGGUACGUUCCCGGGUCUUGUACACACCGCCCGUCACGCAUGGGAAUUGGGUUUCCUCAAGUAGUUAGCCUAACCGUAAGGAGGGCGAUUACCACGGUAGGAUUCAUGACUGGGGUGAGUGCGUAACAAGGUAG